rnacentral:misc_RNA from 1 species
GAUGCAUACAGGCGCGUCGAACUGACGGAAGCCGCGCAGACCCCAGUCCUGCCGCAUCUCCUUGUCAUCGCGCGCGAUCCCCAUUGCAGAGAACAAUUGCUUGGCGACGCCAACCUGCCUGUCCCGGUGCUGACCUGCGAAUGCCUGACCUGUACGGAAUUCGCGCGAUUGCGGCACGCCUGCCACCAUNGGUAUUGCCGGUUCGGAUUCGAUUGAGCGGCUCGCCGGUGAUGAUGUAAAAAUUCCAUGGUUGGGUGUUCAUCGACGAUGGAGCGCGCAUCGCCAAACCGAUAAUUUCCU